rnacentral:rRNA from 1 species
GAUGAACGCUGGCGGCGUGCCUAAUACAUGCAAGUCGAGCGAACAGACGAGGAGCUUGCUCCUCUGACGUUAGCGGCGGACGGGUGAGUAACACGUGGAUAACCUACCUAUAAGACUGGGAUAACUUCGGGAAACCGGAGCUAAUACCGGAUAAUAUAUUGAACCGCAUGGUUCAAUAGUGAAAGACGGUUUUGCUGUCACUUAUAGAUGGAUCCGCGCCGCAUUAGCUAGUUGGUAAGGUAACGGCUUACCAAGGCAACGAUGCGUAGCCGACCUGAGAGGGGGCUCGGCCCACGUGGAGCUGGACCAGGGCCAAGCCUCCUAGGGGGGGCGCCAGAGGGGAGUCUUCGGAAAGGGGCAAAAGCAUGAGGAGACAGCGCGGGGUGAGGAAUAAAGGUGUUGGGUUCGAAAAACUGUGUUAUGGGGAAAAAAAAAAUUUGAAAGAAACUAGGCGCUUUUGGACGGUACCUAAUAAGAAAGCCACGGCAAACUACGUG